CCUUUUUCUCUUCCCUUUUCCCUGGAAUGUGCUGCCAACACUUGAUGAGUCCUGAAGACUCCACGACGACACCAUGGAACCCUGCUGAUGAAGAUCUUUCGAGGGCAAUCGUCAGUCACGGGGUGGUUUCCGGCUUAGAACAGGACACAGUGCAGAUGCAACCACUGAACCGUCAUGCUAGCUGUUCCGAACAAGGCCUGGCAAUAACUUGGCAAGGACGUUGCAAGGACUUGGCAAAGACCUGACGUGGAGCCAGCACGGGACAGCCUGAUGCGCGGCCUGCUUCUAAUCUCAGUUCUUAAGCCAAAUGAACUUUUGGGGUGACUCCCGGGGUCCUUCAUUGAAGACCCCUCAUCUGCCUCGUUACCAGUGUGACAAACAAAGAAUGAGAACCCUCCUCCCAAGGACUGAGACUGAGACCCCUGCUAUAGGGAGGAGGGGAAAUUGGUGGUCUGACCACUAAUGACAUGACCUGUUUCCCUUCAGUGAUUCAAAUGGACUUAUUCUUCAUUGGAUUCGUCUUGCUUUGGUGGUUUCUGUGGACUCAGCUGUUCCCGCGGGGCGAUUACAAUGGACUUUCGUUGUUACACUUGCUCCCCCCUCUUUCCUCUGUGGACUAUAACUGGAGCCCCGAGUCGACCAGAACUUCGGAGACUCCCCCGACACGACAGACGGAUCCCCAUCGUCCGGACCACUGAGGAUCUCGCCUGUGUUGGUAGCUAUUCCCAAACCCCUCUUCUCUCUCUCUCUCUCCUUUUAUCUCCUUUCCGAUCCCCACUAUCGCAUUUAUUGGUUUGGCCCCUAAUAAAGGUGCAUUUGUUGUGAUUAA